UAUUUAUUUCCGUGGGGUUUUUACAGUCAGGGAGCAGACACUUGAACAUUUAACCAAGAUGUUUUGAAAAUGGAAAUUGCAGCAUCUCUCCAAAAGCCACUAGUAUGUUCCAAACAGUUGUAUUUGGAUUCUGGGCUAUUUUAUAGCCAAGGCCUGUGGAAAGGUUUUCCUUAAUAUUUUGGGUUUUUUUUUUUUCUCUUUCUUUUUUGAGUAUAUUCUGUUUUGGUUUGACAUUUGGAAUGAAUGCUUCUGAAUCAAGAUUUCCACUUUUGCAAGGGAAAGUGUUCAGUAAUCUAGAUGAGGGUUGCACUGCUGAAUGCUAUUGCAGCACUACUUCUGAAUACUUAUGGAGCCUUGUCCCAUUAUUGAGGCUUGUCCUACAGGCAGAAAUAUGUUAACAAGUAAACAAGGACUCAAAGUGAAUCAGUGCCCACAUUUAAGUUACAGCUUUGUUUCCAGCUGUUACAGUCUAGCCAUACUAACUAAAACAGCUAAUAAUACUAGUGCUUUGUAACCACAGUACGCUGCCCUUACUGAGCAAGUUUAGUCCAUGACUUGGAUGUCUUUGUAGUCAGUAUACAAACCACUUUGUGAAAGCUCACCUACAUGUAUUGGAGUCACACUAUUCAGAAAGUUUCUUCCCCAGGUUUCUGUGCCAGGCAAACAUCAGUGUUUUCCUCAACAAGAGACUACUGCAUUAUGAGACAUCAUAAUCUCAGAACCUGAAUGUAUGGGAUGUUUCUUCCGCUCAAGUGAAGCAUCAGAUUUACAGCUGAUUCUCAAAAAGAAUGGAGUUCAGAAUUUUGCAAAGCUUUACUCACUUCGUAUCACACUUUGAGGACAGACCAGAUGAUGCCACCAAGUGAACUAAACUCUCCAGAUCUCUGUUGUUUUUGUUCUAGUUCUGUUUAAUACAGGGAAACCAUGACAAAAUGCAUGGGUAUUUGCUGCCACUGAGAGCUGUUAACCUAAACCACCAGUGAGCUUGUUCAUUUAAUGGCUGGGUGGUGUGAACAUGAUGCUGUGCACUCUUGAGAUGUGGUAAUGUCCAAAUGCCUCAAAAUCUGACAGCAGCAACCUGGCAAGAGGAGAAGUCACUUGUCUGCUUUGGAAAAUCCCCACAACUAAGUGCAAUUAGAGAUCACCACACCAAGCAGCAGGAGUGAAUCAGCUAACUCUAUAUUCUCUCUUGCUGUGGUCUGUGCUGGCUGAUUCAGAGGAGAGUGCUCAGAAAACCACAAAGCAAAGAUAUGAAAUAACCUCUCUUUCAGUAGAAUUUUUUAGAAGAAUUGUAGUAGGUGACAAUGCCAGUCAAAGGACAGUGGUACUACAAAAUAACCAGCAGUGGAAACCAUGGUGAUUGUAACCAUCCUUCUCAAAUAUUUGUUUUAACCUUUAAAAAGAAAAAAGUUUGACAGUUCUACUUUUUCUUCUCAAAGUUCAGAAGAAAAAUUUUGUAGUUAAGAUCACAAACACAUGUUCCUAAUAAGGCAUCCUUAGGAAAAGACAACAAAACACUCAGGCAUGAAUCAGUGUCAGCAUUAGUUCAAGUCACUUGCAUUUGUCUGUACUUUGGUAUAUAUGAAUACCAGGGAGUCAUCUGGCUAUCUGCAUUUCUUUUUCAAAUGUGCUAGCUAUAUCAGAGAUAAAAAGGUAAAAUAGAACAUUGAAGAAAAUUAUGGGGAUUUCCGACACUCCCUCAAGGACUUUGAAUUUUAUAAAAUAGUGAAAGAACUACAAAGAGACAAACACAAAACUUUAAUCUGUGAGAUACCAUCAUACUUGUAUAUCUGUUAGGCAAAUCAAGAGUAUGCUAAUUUUAAAAACAAAAAGCAAAUUGAGACAUGAAUAAGCAUGCCAUAUUGAUUUAUUUGUAUUUAACGUGCAUAUGUGCAGGUCAGAGCAAGAUAAUUAACUUUAAAAAGCAGUUUGAACUUCACAGCUGGGCUGAGUGAAAUGGUUAAAGUUUUACUUCAGAUGUUUUCUAAUAGCAUGCAUUAGCUUCAAGCAAAACUCAUGGAAUGGAAAUUACUUUUCCAAACCAAGAGGUGGGGUUUCAAUAUCUACUGGCACGAAUAAGCCCUAUGAGUGAAAUGAAAAGUAUGCAAGACACUUGCUUUCCAGGCUGCGUAUUUUUCUGGCUAACAUGGAGAUGAGGACAAUUAAGUUCAAUUCAGCUUUGUAGCUGAUUUUUAAUUAUUGAUAUAUUCACAAAGCAGGCUGUAGGUUUUGCUUCUUAUCCUGAUUUGAGUUGCAUGUGGGUUUUACAGCUGCAUGCAGUUACUCCAGGUGGCAUCACAUGUGACAGCACAGAGUCAUCCCUUGCUCUCAGCUUUGGAAUUGGAGCAGUUCUGACCCCACACUGUGAUCUAAGCAGACACUCAUGGCCAAAACAACCAGAUGCUGAUUUUGUUCUAUCUGUGCAUGGUAUUUGCUUCUUACCCAAACAAAUUAUACUAAUGGACACAGGCCUAGCUUUAGACCUAAACACUAACUGCAGCCAGAAAGAAGAAAGUCAAGGGCAGAUCUGAGUUUUUACUUAAGGUUUUGAUUGGGGUUUGACUUUUAUGUUUUGUUUUUGUUUGCGUUUUUCUUCCCCACAUAGGUUUUACGCUCCUGAAAAAGUGGAAAAUUAUUGGAGGCAGUAGGAGCACAAGGAGCAUAGUUUUAAAAGAUUCACAGAACUCUUCGAAAUGGAAGGCAAUUGGAAAUAACCUGUGCAAUUCCACGCUCAGGGGAGGGCCAAUGUUGAUCAGGUUGCUCGUGUUCUGUUUCAUUAGGGAUGGAAAUUUCACAUCCUCUGAGACCCUCCGUCCUGUGGUUCUACUGUGGAUUCUUUGUUAUGUCUGACUUGCAUUUUCAUCCAAGAGUGGAGUACUGCUGGGAAUGCUGCACAGAAUUUAAGGAGAAGCAUAUGAAAACCAGGCAGCACGUUGUGGCCACUGGUCAGUUGUCCUGAGGACCUACUUUGUGAUGCCUGAGCAUCCAUAUAUUACUUAUAUUUUCCCAUGAAGAAAAGCGAUUCCAAGAGUUCUUCAUUGAAGAAAUAUUCCUACUGAUUGAAAAUAAAAGAACAGAGGAAUUCCA